UUUAUGGAGAGUUUGAUCCUGGCUCAGGAUGAACGCUGGCGGCGUGCCUAAUACAUGCAAGUCGAGCGAACGGACGAGAAGCUUGCUUCUCUGAUGUUAGCGGCGGACGGGUGAGUAACACGUGGAUAACCUACCUAUAAGACUGGGAUAACUUCGGGAAACCGGAGCUAAUACCGGAUAAUAUUUCGAACCGCAUGGUUCAAAAGUGAAAGACGGUCUUGCUGUCACUUAUAGAUGGAU
rnacentral:rRNA from 1 species